rnacentral:rRNA from 1 species
AUACGUAGGUGACAAGCGUUAUCCGGAUUUACUGGGCGUAAAGGGCGUGUAGGCGGUCUUGCAAGUCAGAAGUGAAAUUCCUGAGCUCAACUCGGGCGCUGCUUCUGAAACUGCAGGACUUGAGUGCUGGAGGGGAUAGCGGAAUUCCUAGUGGAGCGGUAAAAUGCGCAGAUAUUAGGAAGAACAACGGUGGCGAAGGCGGCUAUUUGGACAAUAACUGACGCUGCGGCUCGAAAGCGUGGGGACCAAACAGGAUUAUAUGCCCGGGGUGUCCACGCCGUAAAAGAUGAAUACUAGGUGGAGGGGGUAUCGACUCCCGCUGUGCCGCAGGUAAAACAAUAAGUAGUCCGCCUGGGGAGUACGGCCGCAAGGUUGAAACUCACAUGAAUUGUAGGGU